AACAGGAGAUUAAGGUUGGAGUUCCUGCGACCAAGCAGAAAUGGGCUGGAGCAAAGGAGAUUUUGCUGGACUCUCCCGGACAGCAGAGACCAAAGUGAACUGAAGGAGAAGUGUUGAUGGCAUGAUAUCAGAUUCAGGAUGAACUUUGGGAGCUGCAUCAGGACCCCUAUAAGAUCUUCAUUGAUCAACACCAAGAUAGAGAGCUGCAGAAGUCCAGCAGUGACUG